rnacentral:rRNA from 1 species
AUCGAACGCUGGCGGCAGGCUUAACACAUGCAAGUCGAGCGGACCUUUCGGGGUCACCGGCGGACGGGGGAGUAACGCGUGGGAACGUGCCUUCCAGUUCGGAAUAACCCUGGGAAACUAGUGCUAAUACCGGAUCCGAUAUUAUGUGGAAAGGUUUACUGCCGGAAGAUCGGCCCGCGACUGAUUAGCUAGUUGGUGGGGUAACGGCCUACCAAGGCGACGAUCAGUAGCUGGUCUGAGAGGAGGAGCAGCGACACUGGGACUGAGACACGGCCCAGACUCCUACGGGAGGCAGCAGUGGGGAAUAUUGGAAAAUGGGCGCAAGCCUGAUCCAGCCAUGCCGCGUGAGUGAUGAAGGCCUUAGGGUUGUAAAGCUCUUUUAUCCGGGACGAUAAUGACGGUACCGGAGGAAUAAGCCCCGGCUAACUUCGUG